ensembl:lncRNA
GCAGGUGAGCGGCACUGCCUGCCACGUUCCCAUCCGACUGACAGCCAAUGGAGAGAGCUGCGGUGGCGGCAGGGAAAUUAUACCCGACUUCCUUGCGUGAAUCGAAUCGGGGCUGGGACAGAUGGAGAUGUGAUGAGAGCGUAACUCGAGUGAUGCUCUCAGAGGUCCGCAGCCCUAAUUCCCCUACCAACAGAUGGGGCGGGGGAAAGAGGAACCUUUCAGAGUCGGAGCCCCUGCUGGAAAAGUUAGAGAGAACUCCGGGUAAGAGGAGUGCCAAGGGUGUCCCCUCCUCCCAGCCCAGCCUGGACGAAACAGGGCUAUGCGUGCUGCCAACCGUGCCUAAAGGAGCUCAGGGGUAACCUGGCACGCACCGCUCUUUGGACAGCUUUCAGCUGCUGUUCUCGUGGGCUCUGCGGAUGUUUUGUAUUGCACUACCGAAGCGACACCUGAGGGGUAACGCGGGGUGGUGCUUUGCGAGCUCCUGAAUUUAACAAUAAUAACAAUUUCAAAAAGAAGUGCUUUGCCUGUCUGGUUCCUGCGCGUUCAGAGACCUAACUCAGCUCAGCUGCAGUAAAGCGAAGAGACAUAAAAGGAGGCCGUACACGCAGACCAAGUCCGUCACGCUGAAGCAGCAGUUGUUGCCCCCGGCCCUCCCCUGCGACUGGAUGCAACGUGGGAUAGCGUUGCUCAGAGAAACUUAACCAGACGCGCAGCGCCCACUAGCGCCCGUGCAGCCGGAGCCGCGCUAUGCUG